rnacentral:rRNA from 1 species
GUGCCAGCCGCCGCGGUAAUACGUAGGGGGCCAGCGUUGUCCGGAAUCAUUGGGCGUAAAGCGCGCGUAGGCGGCCAGACAAGUCCGGUGUGAAAGUCACAGGCUCAACCUGUGAAUGCCGCUGGAAACUGUCUGGCUAGAGUCCGGAAGGGGCGAGUGGAAUUCCUGGUGUAGCGGUGAAAUGCGCAGAUAUCAGGAGGAACACCUAUGGCGAAGGCAGCUCGCUGGGACGGUACUGACGCUGAGGCGCGAAAGCGUGGGGAGCGAACAGGAUUAGAUACCCCUGUAGUCC